rnacentral:rRNA from 1 species
CGCCAGCAGCCGCGGUAAUACGGGGGGGGCAAGCGUUGUUCGGAAUUACUGGGCGUAAAGGGCUCGUAGGCGGCCUUGUUAGUCGGACGUGAAAUCCCUCGGCUUAACCGGGGAACUGCGUCCGAUACUGCGAGGCUUGAAUCCGGGAGAGGGAUGCGGAAUUCCAGGUGUAGCGGUGAAAUGCGUAGAUAUCUGGAGGAACACCGGUGGCGAAGGCGGCAUCCUGGACCGGUAUUGACGCUGAGGAGCGAAAGCCAGGGGAGCAAACGGGAUUAGAUACCCCGGUAGUCCUGGCCCUAAACGAUGAAUGCUUGGUGUGGCGGGUAUCGAUCCCUGCCGUGCCGGAGCUAACGCGGUAAGCAUUCCGCCUGGGGAGUACGGUCGCAAGGCUGAAACUUAAAGGAAUUGGCGGGGGAC